rnacentral:misc_RNA from 1 species
CUGGGGAGCAUAAUCUCGUUGCAUGGGCACGGCCAUUGUUCAAAGAUCGAAGGAAGUUCGCGCAGAUGGCUGACCCAUUACUACAGGGCCAAUAUCCAAUGCGGGGCUUGUACCAAGCUCUGGCUGUUGCUGCAAUGUGUGUUCAAGAACAGCCUAAUAUGCGACCACUUAUAGCUGAUGUAGUCACAGCCCUUACUUAUCUUGCUUC